AGUGAACGCUGGCGGUAGGCCUAACACAUGCAAGUCGAACGGCAGCACAGUAAGAGCUUGCUCUUACGGGUGGCGAGUGGCGGACGGGUGAGGAAUACAUCGGAAUCUACUUUUUCGUGGGGGAUAACGUAGGGAAACUUACGCUAAUACCGCAUACGACCUACGGGUGAAAGCAGGGGAUCUUCGGACCUUGCGCGAUUGAAUGAGCCGAUGUCGGAUUAGCUAGUUGGCGGGGUAAAGGCCCACCAAGGCGACGAUCCGUAGCUGGUCUGAGAGGAUGAUCAGCCACACGGGAACUGAGACACGGUCCAGGCUCCUACGGGAGGCAGCAGUGGGGAAUAUUGGACAAGGGGCGCAAGCCUGAUCCAGCCAUACCGCGUGGGUGAAGAAGGCCUUCGGGUUGUAAAGCCCUUUUGUUGGGAAAGAAAAGCAGCAGGUUAAUACCCCGCUGUUCUGACGGUACCCAAAGAAUAAGCACCGGCUAACUUCGUG
rnacentral:rRNA from 1 species